rnacentral:rRNA from 1 species
GAAGAACAAGUACCGUUCGAAUAGGGCGGUACCUUGACGGUACCUAACCAGAAAGCCACGGCUAACUACGUGCCAGCAGCCGCGGUAAUACGUAGGUGGCAAGCGUUGUCCGGAAUUAUUGGGCGUAAAGGGCUCGCAGGCGGUUUCUUAAGUCUGAUGUGAAAGCCCCCGGCUCAACCGGGGAGGGUCAUUGGAAACUGGGGAACUUGAGUGCAGAAGAGGAGAGUGGAAUUCCACGUGUAGCGGUGAAAUGCGUACAGAUGUGGAGGAACACCAGUGGCGAAGGCGA